AACGAACGCUGGCGGCAUGCCUAACACAUGCAAGUCGAACGAGACCUUCGGGUCUAGUGGCGCACGGGUGCGUAACGCGUGGGAACCUGCCCUUAGGUUCGGAAUAACUCCCCGAAAGGGGUGCUAAUACCGGAUAAUGUCUUCGGACCAAAGAUUUAUCGCCUUUGGAUGGGCCCGCGUGGGAUUAGCUAGUUGGUAGGGUAAAAGCCUACCACGGCGACGAUCCCUAGCUGGUCUGAGAGGAUGAUCAGCCACACUGGGACUGAGACACGGCCCAGACUCCUACGCGAGGCAGCAGUGGGGAAUAUUGGACAAUGGGCGAAAGCCUGAUGCAGCAAGGCCGCGUGAGUGAUGAAGGCCUUAGGGUUGUAAAGCUCUUUUACCCGGGAUGAUAAUGACAGUACCGGGAGAAUAAGCACCGGCUAACUCUGUG
rnacentral:rRNA from 1 species